rnacentral:rRNA from 1 species
UACGUAGGUUGCAAGCGUUGUCCGGAUUUACUGGGCGUAAAGCGCGCGCAGGCGGCCUCGGAAGUCGGAUGUGAAAGCUCCUGGCUCAACUGGGAGAGGCCAUCCGAAACUCCGGGGCUUGAAGGUCGGAGAGGGGAGUGGAAUUCCCGGUGUAGCGGUAAAAUGCGUAGAUACCGGGAGGAACACCAGUGGCGAAAGCGGCUCCCUGGCCGACCCUUGACGCUCAGGCGCGAAAGCUAGGGGAGCGACCGGG